CGCGGGGUGGAGCAGUUGGCAGCUCGUCGGGCUCAUAACCCGAAGGCCGGAGGUUCGAGUCCUUCCCCCGCUACCA
rnacentral:tRNA from 1 species